UACGUAGGGCGCGAGCGUUGUCCGGAAUCAUUGGGCGUAAAGCGCGUGUAGGCGGCCGAGUAAGUCUGCUGUGAAAACUCGAGGCUCAACCUCGAGCUGUCGGCGGAAACCAUCUGGCUAGAGUCCGGAAGAGGAGAGUGGAAUUCCUGGUGUAGCGGUGAAAUGCGCAGAUAUCAGGAAGAACACCUAUGGCGAAGGCAGCUCUCUGGGACGGUACUGACGCUGAGACGCGAAAGCGUGGGGAGCGAACAGG
rnacentral:rRNA from 1 species